UCCCGCCGGUUUUCUGCGUAAUGUAGCACGGCGGCCACGCCGCGGGGUGGAGCGCAUGUGGCGGUAUCCUUGCCGGAUGCGAAAGGAGGUGCCAGAAACUUUAAACCCCGGCCAGAAGACAACGUGUCCACUUAGACGGCGGACUCGUUUCACAAAGGCAGGAUUUUAGGGCUCUCCAGUGAGCAGGAGAGCAAGUUACUGUGUAUCUUGCCUUAGAAGAGGAGACCCAAUCAGCCCUGAAUCCAGCUGCAGUAAUGCCAUGAGAAGCCAAAACCACAUGGAGAGGCUGUGUGUAGCUGCCUCGGUUCAACACUCAGCUGACAGCCCACAUCAACUGCCAACCAUGUGAGAGAGCCGUUUUGGACGUGCAGCCCAUCUAGCCUUCAGAUGACUCCAGCCCCAACUGAUAUCCAACUGUGACCACGUGAGAAGCACCCAGCUGAGCCCAUUCAACCCGCAUAAGGUGAUACACAAAUGCUGAACAGCGAUGAGCUUCAUUGAGCGAGAGGAUGGGAGACCUGAUGCGGGUGUUUCCCUUAUGGAGGAGAGGCUCCAGUUACACGGGGGAAUGAUGCCGUGGACCAGGGGAGGGUCAAAACGCUUCCUACGCUCGGCGGACAGACCCGCGCUGGGUUGAUGGGGGCCUCCUGUGGAAUUCAGUUCUCGGCCAGAGAUUCCCUACCUUCGACCUGGGAAGAUAUGUGGGAGGCUCAGCAAACCUGGCGGCCGCUCUUUGGGUUUGGCAAACUCGAGAUUUUUCCAGUGCCUUGUGUUCAGCAAAACCAAAAAUGUGUUUGGCUAGAAACGCUUCUCUAAUUUUUAAACCCCUGUGCAUUUUUUACGUAAA